GGAGAAGUGACCGAGUGGUUGAAGGUGCACGCCUGGAAAGCGUGUGUACGGCUUAUCACCGUACCGCGGGUUCGAAUCCCGCCUUCUCCGCCA
rnacentral:tRNA from 1 species